GGAAGUAAAAGUCGUAACAAGAUUUCCGUAGGUGAACCUGCGGAAGGAUCAUUAAAGAACGCCCCGUUUUUUGAAAUGGGUAAUUCUAAACCGUGUAUACAUACCUUUGUUGCUUAGGCAGGCCGCCCCUCAGGGCGUCGGCUCCGGCUGACUGCGCCUGCCAGAGGACCCAAACUCUUUUGUUUAGUGAUGUCUGAGUACUAUAUAAUAGUUAAAACUUUCAACAACGGAUCUCUUGGUUCUG
rnacentral:misc_RNA from 1 species